CGGGACGGGUGAGUAACGCGUGGAUAACCUGCCUCACACUGGGGGAUAACAGUUAGAAAUGACUGCUAAUACCGCAUAAGCGCACAGUACCGCAUGGUACAGUGUGAAAAACCCCGGUGGUGUGAGAUGGAUCCGCGUCUGAUUAGCCAGUUGGCGGGGUAACGGCCCACCAAAGCGACGAUCAGUAGCCGACCUGAGAGGGUGACCGGCCACAUUGGGACUGAGACACGGCCCAA
rnacentral:rRNA from 1 species